rnacentral:rRNA from 1 species
GGUUAAGCGACUAAGCGUACACGGUGGAUGCCCUGGCAGUCAGAGGCGAUGAAGGACGUGCUAAUCUGCGAUAAGCGUCGGUAAGGUGAUAUGAACCGUUAUAACCGGCGAUUUCCGAAUGGGGAAACCCAGUGUGUUUCGACACACUAUCAUUAACUGAAUCCAUAGGUUAAUGAGGCGAACCGGGGGAACUGAAACAUCUAAGUACCCCGAGGAAAAGAAAUCAACCGAGAUUCCCCCAGUAGCGGCGAGCGAACGGGGAGCAGCCCAGAGCCUGAAUCAGUGUGUGUGUUAGUGGAAGCGUCUGGAAAGGCGCGCGAUACAGGGUGACAGCCCCGUACACAAAAAUGCACAUGCUGUGAGCUCGAUGAGUAGGGCGGGACACGUGGUAUCCUGUCUGAAUAUGGGGGACCAUCCUCCAAGGCUAAAUACUCCUGACUGACCGAUAGUGAACCAGUACCGUGAGGGAAAGGCGAAAAGAACCCCGGCGAGGGGAGUGAAAAAGAACCUGAAACCGUGUACGUACAAGCAGUGGGAGCACAGAGCAAUCUGUGUGACUGCGUACCUUUGUAUAAUGGGUCAGCGACUUAUAUUCUGUAGCAAGGUUAACCGAAUAGGGGAGCCGAAGGGAAACCGAGUCUUAACUGGGCGUUAAGUUGCAGGGUAUAGACCCGAAACCCGGUGAUCUAGCCAUGGGCAGGUUGAAGGUUGGGUAACACUAACUGGAGGACCGAACCGACUAAUGUUGAAAAAUUAGCGGAUGACUUGUGGCUGGGGGUGAAAGGCCAAUCAAACCGGGAGAUAGCUGGUUCUCCCCGAAAGCUAUUUAGGUAGCGCCUCGUGAAUUCAUCUCCGGGGGUAGAGCACUGUUUCGGCAAGGGGGUCAUCCCGACUUACCAACCCGAUGCAAACUGCGAAUACCGGAGAAUGUUAUCACGGGAGACACACGGCGGGUGCUAACGUCCGUCGUGAAGAGGGAAACAACCCAGACCGCCAGCUAAGGUCCCAAAGUCAUGGUUAAGUGGGAAACGAUGUGGGAAGGCCCAGACAGCCAGGAUGUUGGCUUAGAAGCAGCCAUCAUUUAAAGAAAGCGUAAUAGCUCACUGGUCGAGUCGGCCUGCGCGGAAGAUGUAACGGGGCUAAACCAUGCACCGAAGCUGCGGCAGCGACGCUUAUGCGUUGUUGGGUAGGGGAGCGUUCUGUAAGCCUGCGAAGGUGUGCUGUGAGGCAUGCUGGAGGUAUCAGAAGUGCGAAUGCUGACAUAAGUAACGAUAAAGCGGGUGAAAAGCCCGCUCGCCGGAAGACCAAGGGUUCCUGUCCAACGUUAAUCGGGGCAGGGUGAGUCGACCCCUAAGGCGAGGCCGAAAGGCGUAGUCGAUGGGAAACAGGUUAAUAUUCCAGUACUUGGUGUUACUGCGAAGGGGGACGGAGAAGGCUAUGUUGGCCGGGCGACGGUUGUCCCGGUUUAAGCGUGUAGGCUGGUUUUCCAGGCAAAUCCGGAAAACUAAGGCUGAGGCGUGAUGACGAGGCACUACGGUGCUGAAGCAACAAAUGCCCUGCUUCCAGGAAAAGCCUCUAAGCAUCAGGUAACAUCAAAUCGUACCCCAAACCGACACAGGUGGUCAGGUAGAGAAUACCAAGGCGCUUGAGAGAACUCGGGUGAAGGAACUAGGCAAAAUGGUGCCGUAACUUCGGGAGAAGGCACGCUGAUAUGUAGGUGAAGUCCCUCGCGGAUGGAGCUGAAAUCAGUCGAAGAUACCAGCUGGCUGCAACUGUUUAUUAAAAACACAGCACUGUGCAAACACGAAAGUGGACGUAUACGGUGUGACGCCUGCCCGGUGCCGGAAGGUUAAUUGAUGGGGUUAGCGGUAACGCGAAGCUCUUGAUCGAAGCCCCGGUAAACGGCGGCCGUAACUAUAACGGUCCUAAGGUAGCGAAAUUCCUUGUCGGGUAAGUUCCGACCUGCACGAAUGGCGUAAUGAUGGCCAGGCUGUCUCCACCCGAGACUCAGUGAAAUUGAACUCGCUGUGAAGAUGCAGUGUACCCGCGGCAAGACGGAAAGACCCCGUGAACCUUUACUAUAGCUUGACACUGAACAUUGAGCCUUGAUGUGUAGGAUAGGUGGGAGGCUUAGAAGUGUGGACGCCAGUCUGCAUGGAGCCGACCUUGAAAUACCACCCUUUAAUGUUUGAUGUUCUAACGUUGACCCGUAAUCCGGGUUGCGGACAGUGUCUGGUGGGUAGUUUGACUGGGGCGGUCUCCUCCUAAAGAGUAACGGAGGAGCACGAAGGUUGGCUAAUCCUGGUCGGACAUCAGGAGGUUAGUGCAAUGGCAUAAGCCAGCUUGACUGCGAGCGUGACGGCGCGAGCAGGUGCGAAAGCAGGUCAUAGUGAUCCGGUGGUUCUGAAUGGAAGGGCCAUCGCUCAACGGAUAAAAGGUACUCCGGGGAUAACAGGCUGAUACCGCCCAAGAGUUCAUAUCGACGGCGGUGUUUGGCACCUCGAUGUCGGCUCAUCACAUCCUGGGGCUGAAGUAGGUCCCAAGGGUAUGGCUGUUCGCCAUUUAAAGUGGUACGCGAGCUGGGUUUAGAACGUCGUGAGACAGUUCGGUCCCUAUCUGCCGUGGGCGCUGGAGAACUGAGGGGGCUGCUCCUAGUACGAGAGGACCGGAGUGGACGCAUCACUGGUGUUCGGGUUGUCAUGCCAAUGGCACUGCCCGGUAGCUAAAUGCGGAAGAGAUAAGUGCUGAAAGCAUCUAAGCACGAAACUUGCCCCGAGAUGAGUUCUCCCUGACUCCUUGAGAGUCCUGAAGGAACGUUGAAGACGACGACGUUGAUAGGCCGGGUGUGUAAGCGCAGCGAUGCGUUGAGCUAACCGGUACUAAUGAACCGUGAGGCUUAACCUU